GCCUCUGCCUCCAGGGGAAACAAGCCUGCUGCCCCUCCACCCACCCCUGUAGCCUCCAGAGCUGGGAGAAGAUAAGGUCUCCCUGUUGAUGCCACCCAGCCUCUGCUAUGUCGUUAUGGCAGUCGGAGCAGACUCCCACGGAUGGUGAGCAGUGUCCCUCGGACAAUGUGGAGGCACCGGGGAAGAGCCCACGGUGGGAGAGGGAGGAACCAGGCCGCAGAUCUUGAUAAUAAGGCAUCAGGGAAAGGACACGACAGAUACGUUUCUUCAUAGACCUUACAUCACGCGGCUCAUAGUGACCCCAGGAAGUGGGUUGGCAUCCUUCUUUACUUCACGAAUGGGCAAACCAGGGGUCGCAGGAGCUCGGAUUUGUCCUGGGCACAGGGAAGCUCUUGACUCAUAGAAACAGCUGUCGGUUUAAGGAACAGCCCUCGUUUUGCGGUACAACACCCUCAUCUCCAAGAGUGUCACUGCAACUCCUUGUGCAGAGUCUCGGAAGCUCAAUCCACCUGUGCAUCAAGCCAGUGAUUUCAUUUUAUAAGGCACAUGGUAAAAACAUUAAUUGUAGGACACUCCUGAGAAUGGAAAGAGGAGCUCAUGGGGCGCCGGGACACGACGGAUGACGCAAGACGCUGGCGCAAAUCCGAACGCACGGUCACCUAUGAACUGAGUACCGAGCCCCUGUCUCCGCUGAUGACCCUCUCAGUGCUCGGCAGUAGCGAUGGCCAGUCCAGCUCAGUGAAGGAUGUCCCGCGUUUCCAACCCACGCGCAGUCUUCGCUCCUGAUGCCGUCGAUGUGUUUUGCAUAGGCCCAUGGAAAAGGGGCCUGCUCCUAGCAUCCGUAGUAUGUUGAAGUCAGCCUUCUAACUACUAAGGGU